rnacentral:rRNA from 1 species
UACGUAGGUGGCAAGCGUUGUCCGGAUUCACUGGGCUUAAAGAGCGCGCAGGCGGUCGUUCAAGUCGGAUGUGAAAGCCCCCGGCUCAACUGGGGAGGGUCAUUCGAUACUGAUCGACUCGAAGGCAGGAGAGGGAAGCGGAAUUCCCGGUGUAGUGGUGAAAUGCGUAGAUAUCGGGAGGAACACCAGUGGCGAAGGCGGCUGGCUGGCCUGUUCUUGACGCUGAGGCGCGAAAGCCAGGGGAGCAAACGGG